AUUGAACGCUGGCGGCAGGCCUAACACAUGCAAGUCGAACGGUAACAAGAAACAGCUUGCUGUUUCGCUGACGAGUGGCGGACGGGUGAGUAAUGUCUGGGAAACUGCCUGAUGGAGGGGGAUAACUACUGGAAACGGUAGCUAAUACCGCAUAACGUCGCAAGACCAAAGAGGGGGACCCUCGGGCCUCUUGCCAUCGGAUGUGCCCAGAUGGGAUUAGCUUGUUGGUGGGGUAACGGCUCACCAAGGCGACGAUCCCUAGCUGGUCUGAGAGGAUGACCAGCCACACUGGAACUGAGACGCGGUCCAGACUCCUACGGGAGGCAGCAGUGGGGAAUAUUGCACAAUGGGCGCAAGCCUGAUGCAGCCAUGCCGCGUGUAUGAAGAAGGCCUUCGGGUUGUAAAGUACUUUCAGCGGGGAGGAAGGGAGUAAAGUUAAUACCUUUGCUCAUUGACGUUACCCGCAGAAGAAGCACCGGCUAACUCCGUG
rnacentral:rRNA from 1 species